rnacentral:rRNA from 1 species
UACUGAGGGGGCUAGCGUUGUUCGGAAUUACUGGGCGUAAAGCGCGCGUAGGCGGAUUGUUAAGUCGGGGGUGAAAUCCCGGGGCUCAACCCCGGAACUGCCUUCGAUACUGGCGAUCUUGAGGUCGGGAGAGGUGAGUGGAAUGGCGAGUGUAGAGGUGAAAUUCGUAGAUAUUAGCCGGAACACCAGUGGCGAAGGCGGCUCACUGGCCCGAUACUGACGCUGAGGUGCGAAAGCGCGGGGAGCAAUCAGG